CAAAUGCUGGAUGAUGAUAAUAAGAGUGAUCCAUCGUCUGACUGACUUUGUUGACAUCAUUAGUGUUCUGACAGCAUUUG
ensembl:snoRNA